GACGAACGCUGGCGGCGUGCUUAACACAUGCAAGUCGAACGGUAAGGCUCCAGCUUGCUGGGGUACACGAGUGGCGAACGGGUGAGUAACACGUGGGUGACCUGCCCUGCACUUCGGGAUAAGCCUGGGAAACUGGGUCUAAUACCGGAUAGGACCAUGGUGUGGAUACUGUGGUGGAAAGUUUUUUCGGUGUGGGAUGGGCCCGCGGCCUAUCAGCUUGUUGGUGGGGUAAUGGCCUACCAAGGCGGCGACGGGUAGCCGGCCUGAGAGGGUGGACGGCCACAUUGGGACUGAGACACGGCCCAGACUCCUACGGGAGGCAGCAGUGGGGAAUAUUGCACAAUGGGCGGAAGCCUGAUGCAGCGACGCCGCGUGGGGGAUGACGGCCUUCGGGUUGUAAACUCCUUUCACCAUCGACGAAGGGUGUCUGACGGUAGAUGGAGAAGAAGCACCGGCUAACUACGUG
rnacentral:rRNA from 1 species